AUUGAACGCUGGCGGCAGGCUUAACACAUGCAAGUCGAGCGGAGAUGAGGUGCUUGCACCUUAUCUUAGCGGCGGACGGGUGAGUAAUGCUUAGGAAUCUGCCUAUUAGUGGGGGACAACAUUCCGAAAGGAAUGCUAAUACCGCAUACGUCCUACGGGAGAAAGCAGGGGAUCUUCGGACCUUGCGCUAAUAGAUGAGCCUAAGUCGGAUUAGCUAGUUGGUGGGGUAAAGGCCUACCAAGGCGACGAUCUGUAGCGGGUCUGAGAGGAUGAUCCGCCACACUGGGACUGAGACACGGCCCAGACUCCUACGGGAGGCAGCAGUGGGGAAUAUUGGACAAUGGGGGGAACCCUGAUCCAGCCAUGCCGCGUGUGUGAAGAAGGCCUUAUGGUUGUAAAGCACUUUAAGCGAGGAGGAGGCUACUGAGACUAAUACUCUUAGAUAGUGGACGUUACUCGCAGAAUAAGCACCGGCUAACUCUGUGCCAGCAGCCGCGGUAAUACAGAGGGUGCGAGCGUUAAUCGGAUUUACUGGGCGUAAAGCGUGCGUANGCGGCUUUUUAAGUCGGAUGUGAAAUCCCCGAGCUUAACUUGGGAAUUGCAUUCGAUACUGGGAAGCUAGAGUAUGGGANAGGAUGGUAGAAUUCCAGG
rnacentral:rRNA from 1 species